rnacentral:rRNA from 1 species
UUAAGCGACUAAGCGUACACGGUGGAUGCCCUGGCAGUCAGAGGCGAUGAAGGACGUGCUAAUCUGCGAUAAGCGUCGGUAAGGUGAUAUGAACCGUUAUAACCGGCGAUUUCCGAAUGGGGAAACCCAGUGUGAUUCGUCACACUAUCAUUAACUGAAUCCAUAGGUUAAUGAGGCGAACCGGGGGAACUGAAACAUCUAAGUACCCCGAGGAAAAGAAAUCAACCGAGAUUCCCCCAGUAGCGGCGAGCGAACGGGGAGCAGCCCAGAGCCUGAAUCAGUGUGUGUGUUAGUGGAAGCGUCUGGAAAGGCGCGCGAUACAGGGUGACAGCCCCGUACACAAAAAUGCACAUACUGUGAGCUCGAUGAGUAGGGCGGGACACGUGGUAUCCUGUCUGAAUAUGGGGGGACCAUCCUCCAAGGCUAAAUACUCCUGACUGACCGAUAGUGAACCAGUACCGUGAGGGAAAGGCGAAAAGAACCCCGGCGAGGGGAGUGAAAAAGAACCUGAAACCGUGUACGUACAAGCAGUGGGAGCCUCUUAAUGGGGUGACUGCGUACCUUUUGUAUAAUGGGUCAGCGACUUAUAUUCUGUAGCAAGGUUAACCGAAUAGGGGAGCCGAAGGGAAACCGAGUCUUAACUGGGCGUUAAGUUGCAGGGUAUAGACCCGAAACCCGGUGAUCUAGCCAUGGGCAGGUUGAAGGUUGGGUAACACUAACUGGAGGACCGAACCGACUAAUGUUGAAAAAUUAGCGGAUGACUUGUGGCUGGGGGUGAAAGGCCAAUCAAACCGGGAGAUAGCUGGUUCUCCCCGAAAGCUAUUUAGGUAGCGCCUCGUGAAUUCAUCUCCGGGGGUAGAGCACUGUUUCGGCAAGGGGGUCAUCCCGACUUACCAACCCGAUGCAAACUGCGAAUACCGGAGAAUGUUAUCACGGGAGACACACGGCGGGUGCUAACGUCCGUCGUGAAGAGGGAAACAACCCAGACCGCCAGCUAAGGUCCCAAAGUCAUGGUUAAGUGGGAAACGAUGUGGGAAGGCCCAGACAGCCAGGAUGUUGGCUUAGAAGCAGCCAUCAUUUAAAGAAAGCGUAAUAGCUCACUGGUCGAGUCGGCCUGCGCGGAAGAUGUAACGGGGCUAAACCAUGCACCGAAGCUGCGGCAGCGACGCUUAUGCGUUGUUGGGUAGGGGAGCGUUCUGUAAGCCUGCGAAGGUGUGCUGUGAGGUAUGCUGGAGGUAUCAGAAGUGCGAAUGCUGACAUAAGUAACGAUAAAGCGGGUGAAAAGCCCGCUCGCCGGAAGACCAAGGGUUCCUGUCCAACGUUAAUCGGGGCAGGGUGAGUCGACCCCUAAGGCGAGGCCGAAAGGCGUAGUCGAUGGGAAACAGGUUAAUAUUCCUGUACUUGGUGUUACUGCGAAGGGGGGACGGAGAAGGCUAUGUUGGCCGGGCGACGGUUGUCCCGGUUUAAGCGUGUAGGCUGGUUUUCCAGGCAAAUCCGGAAAAUCAAGGCUGAGGCGUGAUGACGAGGCACUACGGUGCUGAAGCAACAAAUGCCCUGCUUCCAGGAAAAGCCUCUAAGCAUCAGGUAACAUCAAAUCGUACCCCAAACCGACACAGGUGGUCAGGUAGAGAAUACCAAGGCGCUUGAGAGAACUCGGGUGAAGGAACUAGGCAAAAUGGUGCCGUAACUUCGGGAGAAGGCACGCUGAUAUGUAGGUGAAGCGACUUGCUCGUGGAGCUGAAAUCAGUCGAAGAUACCAGCUGGCUGCAACUGUUUAUUAAAAACACAGCACUGUGCAAACACGAAAGUGGACGUAUACGGUGUGACGCCUGCCCGGUGCCGGAAGGUUAAUUGAUGGGGUUAGCGGUAACGCGAAGCUCUUGAUCGAAGCCCCGGUAAACGGCGGCCGUAACUAUAACGGUCCUAAGGUAGCGAAAUUCCUUGUCGGGU